GGGCGUGUAGCUCAGUGGUAGAGCGCUCGCUUUGCAUUGCCUAGUGCUCGUAUGCGAGAGGCCCGGGGUUCGAUCCCCCGCCCGUCCA